rnacentral:rRNA from 1 species
GACAGAGGUCCCGAGCGUUAGGCGGAAUCACUGGGCUUAAAGCGCGUGUAGGCGGAUGCCUAAGUACCUUGUGAAAUCCCACGGCUCACCCGUGGAACUGCUUGGUAUACUGGGUGUCUUGAGCCACUUAGGGGCUACCGGAACAAAUGGUGGAGCGGUGAAAUGCGUAGAUAUCAUUUGGAACGCCAAUGGUGAAAACAGGUAGCUGGGAGUGUGCUGACGCUGAGACACGAAAGCCAGGGGAGCAAACGGG